ACAAAACUUCGUGUAAAUUCUAUCCUCCGGUUUACCGAAUUAGAGAGGAAUACGCUUUGAGACGGCGACUUAAUAGUGACAACGGCGGGAAUUAUGUACUUCACCAGAGCAAAAACAAGUUCUCGAAGACGAAGAUGAAAGGACGACGAGACUAAGAGAAAGGUUUCAGAGAGAGAAAAUAUGAGACAAAGAUGAAGAUAAAUCAACAUGGCUACUACACAAGUGCGUGAGGACAAAAUGGGAAGAAACGUGGGCUAAAUUUUACUAAUGUCUUGGACAAUUUUCCAUAACCCCGAAAAUUUUAUUUGCCCAGAUCGGUUACCUUACACCCAAUUAUCUCUUUAUUUUAAUUUUCAAAAAUAAUUUUAUUUUGGUAAAUCAAUUAAACACAAACUUUGAACCUAAAAAUUUUUCCUCUUCCCCCUCAUUUCUCUCCGUCGUCGAAAGAAAAAACAGAAAAGCCAAUUCUCUCGAUUCUUAUUCUCCGGCAAGAUCUUCAAUGCUGCUUCUCCGGCGACCCAACGCUACUCUCCGCCAUCAAAGCACAAGGUUGUGAGAAGGAUAUUGGAGAGCUCAAAAAGUUGUGUUCAGUUGUUAUGAGAAAGAGAUACAAGAGUUAAGGAGCUUCAAAAAUAUGGUUGUGUGCUUUGGUCAUAGUUCUAUGUAAGAGGUUUAUUUUUAGUUGAGUUUGUAUUGAUUGGUCUUUCUCUUGAGAUUGGAUUUAAUAAUUAGAGUUUAUUGAGAUUGUAUUGGUCUUAAGAGAUUCUAUUGAGUUUAUUGUAUCGGUCUUAAGAGCUUGUAUUGACUAAAACAUAAAAUAAAGUUAUAUCCCAAUGGAUUUAAGUCAAAA